rnacentral:piRNA from 1 species
UAUAAACCCCUUACCAAAAUAACCUCAC